CUUGGUGACUAUUGCGCUGUGGAACCACUCAAUACAUUCCGAACUUGCAAGUGAAACGCAGGUUGCGCCGAUGGUACUUUACUUCAGGUAUGGGAGAUUAGGUUGCCGCCAAGC
rnacentral:rRNA from 1 species